GCGCUUGUAGCUCAAUUGGAUAGAGCGCCUGACUACGGAUCAGAAGGUUAGGGGUUCAAGUCCCUUCAAGCGCGCCA
rnacentral:tRNA from 1 species